rnacentral:lncRNA from 1 species
CGAUUUGGGCCUAGAACGGGGAAAAUUUAUUUAUGGACGAUUAUGUCUUUUUCACCUUUGUGGUAUCGAGGUAAGUUCGUAUGUAAAUAAUACCAUUUUAUACAUGUAUUUAAAUGUUAUCCUCACAUGAAUUGUACAAAUAUUAGUGUUUAUGUGAUUAAUAGAAAUAUGAUAAGACAAAGCCUUAAUAAGCGAGGAAAAAUCCAGUUUGAACCUUAGGAAUAAAAUAGGAUACGAGUGACAUGUCACUAGGAAUUAUGAGUCUAAAUGACUAGCUCGAGAGUGAGCAAUUAAAUAUCAUGAGGUAUGAGGUAGCUUUAGCUACAAUUGAGGCACUUAUGUGCAAAAGUUUUUCCGAGUAUCCAAUUAGUAUUCUAAGUGUUCAACGGGUAAUCCGAGGAAAGAGUUGAUGAUGGUCCCAAUGAGGUAAGUCAUUGGUGAGUAUGCACUUGAGUUAUGUUAUGAGUUGUGUAGGUAUGUACACUAAGCCUAUGAGAAUGCCUUGAUAUGUGAUGAUCUAUGAUGCAUAAAUAUGUGUUCUUACCAUGAGGGAUGAAAUGAUGUUGUAUUAAUUUUGUGAACAAUGAUCAUGAAUGAGUAACUUAGCCUUGACAGAUUUGAGUUACUACAGUAGUGUAACUUUGAAAAUACACUAAAAAUAGUGGAAAAUGAGUUAGAAGCUGAAUAAAAAAUGGAAAUAAAUCUUAUUAAGUCUAGUUUCACAUAAAGGAAACGGUGUAAGCAAAAGAAUUUCCUAUAAUGAGAUAUUUGAAGUGGCAUGGGACAGAUUCAAAAUGACUUCGAGAUCCCCUGUUCUGAUUUGAGAAAAUCAUUAUAAAUUGUACAAAAAUGGUUAUGAGUUAUGAUUUAUAUUCUUAGAAUCCUUAAUGAGUCUAGUUUCAAAAGAAAUAGACAAGAACAUUAUUUGAGUCAUUGCUAUGAGAUAAUUGAACUUUAAUGCAGAAGGGUCAGAACUAUCAGACAGUGAAUCAGGGGUAAUUUUAAGGAAUAAACUGUACUAUUGGCUAAACCAAAAAUUCUGGAAAUUUUAUGGUAGAAAGGUACAUGAGCCUAGUUUCAAGGAAAAUUAACAGAACUUAAUUUAGAGUUUUGUAGCUCCAGAUAUAAAUAAUUUAGUAACUGUUGCUUAGGAAGGCAGCUUGUCGUGAACUUGAGAAUAUGUUGUAAACAUUGAUAAAACAUGUUAAUGAGUUUCUUAUUGUUUUCAUAUGAACUUACUAAGCGUAAAGCUUACCCCCCUUUCUUCCCAUGUUCCCUAGGGUUGCCAGGUUAGCUUGGGUUGGAGGCCGUCACACUAUCGAGUUAACGCUAUCGGCAUAAGUAAAUCCUAGUGUUUUGAGUCUAUGGCAUGUAUAGGGUUUUAAUGUUGCGUAUGUGAUAUUAUGAUUUACCCAAAUGCAUUGGCUUGUUAUUAAGGCAAUAUGUAGUUAUGUAAAUUGGUCUAUGUCGACUAAUGAUGUUGUGCGCCUA